rnacentral:rRNA from 1 species
UACGUAGGGGGCUAGCGUUGUCCGGAUUUAUUGGGCGUAAAGAGCGUGUAGGCGGCCAGAUAGGUCUGCUGUGAAAACUCGAGGCUCAACCUCGAGCUGUCGGCGGAAACCAUUUGGCUAGAGUCCGGAAGAGGCGAGUGGAAUUCCUGGUGUAGCGGUGGAAUGCGCAGAUAUCAGGAGGAACACCGGUGGCGAAGGCGGGUCUCUGGGCCGAUAUCGACGCUGAGGAGCGAAAGCGUGGGGAGCGAACAGG